rnacentral:rRNA from 1 species
GACGAACGCUGGCGGCGUGCUUAACACAUGCAGGUCGAACGAUGAACCCGGAGCUUGCUCUGGGGGAUUAGUGGCGAACGGGUGAGUAACACGUGAGUAACCUGCCCUGGACUCUGGGAUAAGCGUUGGAAACGACGUCUAAUACCGGAUAGGACCUUGGAUCGCAUGAUCUGGGGUGGAAAGUUUUUUCGGUCUGGGAUGGACUCGCGGCCUAUCAGCUUGUUGGUGAGGUAAUGGCUCACCAAGGCGUCGACGGGUAGCCGGCCUGAGAGGGUGACCGGCCACACUGGGACUGAGACACGGCCCAGACUCCUCCGGGAGGCAGCAGUGGGGAAUAUUGCACAAUGGGCGAAAGCCUGAUGCAGCAACGCCGCGUGCGGGAUGACGGCCUUCGGGUUGUAAACCGCUUUUAGUAGGGAAGAAGGGCUUCGGCUUGACGGUACCUGCAGAAAAAGGACCGGCUAACUACGUG